rnacentral:lncRNA from 1 species
UCAGUUACAGUAUAUGUUAAGUCUUCUUUCGAUGAUAGCACGUUCUGUCUAUAUACAAGAAUACUAUAAGUCCUCUUGUCGAUGAAGGAACGUUCUGUCUGUAUACAAAAAUACUAAAAGUCCUCUUGUCGAUGAAGGAACGUUCUCUCUGUAUACAAGUAUAGUUUCAGUCCUCUUAUCAACAUUAUAAGCUAUAAAUACUCGAGUACCUAUAAAACAUUCCGUAGUUGCGUCGUUAGCAAAUUAUAAACACAUACGAAAAGAAAAUUAGCAGCAAAUUAGCAUUGCGAGAUACUUGUGAAAUACAUUCAACAGGAUAAUACAUCCAAAGAAGUCAUGAAAACCUUACAUAUUCUAUGCCUGGCGUUUAUAUCGCUUCUGCUUUUGAAUGACCUUCCAGUUGUGAGGUCACAUCGGCAAUUAUGUCGACUUACUAUACGUUAUGGGCAGCCCAGUUGUCAAGAUACAGGACGUUUAAUAAAUGGACGUGGAAGGUGCGGAAGGAGUGGGAAAUCUUGUGGCUUGGUUAGACGUCGUUUGUGCAGAUGUAGAAGAGGUGGUGUAUUUUUGCAUCCUGGGAGAGAGUAAACACAUGAUACUUAAAUGAUUCAUCCUAAUUUGUGAUUUGGAAGGAAUUGUUUUAUAUUGUUGAGUAAUAAGUAAUGCAGUGCCAUUCAACACUCGUCAUAACUGUUUUUGAGAUGAAUAACAUGUUACCUUAUGUUUCUUGACAAUUAACAGUUAAUGCACCAGAUUUUAAUGGCAUCGGCAAUUUGUACGUCUCAGUAAUUCAAAUAUGUUUUUUUUUCAUGUGAAGAAGAAAGUGUUUAGAAUAAAACUAGGAGGCGCGGUGAA